GCUUCCGUCGUUCAACGGAUAGGACAGUAGUUUGCGGAACUACCAAUACAGGUUCGAUUCCUGUCGGGAGCA
rnacentral:tRNA from 1 species